UUCGGGGUGNCAGGCGAUACGGGCAUAACUAGAGUGCUGUAGGGGAGACUGGAAUUCCUGGUGUAGCGGUGGAAUGCGCAGAUAUCAGGAGGAACACCGAUGGCGAAGGCAGGUCUCUGGNCAGUAACUGACGCUGAGGAGCGAAAGCAUGGGGAGUGAACAGGAUUAGAUACCCUGGUAGUCCAUGCUGUAAACGGUGGGCGUUAGGUGUGGGGACCGGUUUGGUUUCUGUGCCGUAGCUAACGCAUUAAGCGCCCCGCCUGGGGAGUACGGCCGCAAGGCUAAAACUCAAAGGAAUUGACGGGGGCCCGCACAAGCGGCGGAGCAUGUGGAUUAAUUCGAUGCAACGCGAAGAACCUUACCUGGGUUUGACAUGCACCAGACGGUUGUAGAGAUACGUACCUCCCUUUGUGGUUGGUGUGCAGGUGGUGCAUGGUUGUCGUCAGCUCGUGUCGUGAGAUGUUGGGUUAAGUCCCGCAACGAGCGCAACCCUUGUCUUAUGUUGCCAGCACGUUUAGGGUGGGGACUCAUGAGAGACUGCCGGGGUUAACUCGGAGGAAGGUGGGGAUGACGUCAAAUCAUCAUGCCCUUUAUGCCCAGGGCUUCACACAUGCUACAAUGGUUAGUACAACGCGCUGCGAACCUGUGAGGGUGAGCGAAUCGCUGAAAGCUAAUCUCAGUUCGGAUUGGGGUCUGCAACUCGACCCCAUGAAGUCGGAGUCGCUAGUAAUCGCAGAUCAGCAAUGCUGCGGUGAAUACGUUCCCGGGCCUUGUACACACC
rnacentral:rRNA from 1 species